GAUGAACGCUGGCGGCGUGCCUAAUACAUGCAAGUCGAGCGAACAGACGAGGAGCUUGCUCCUCUGACGUUAGCGGCGGACGGGUGAGUAACACGUGGAUAACCUACCUAUAAGACUGGGAUAACUUCGGGAAACCGGAGCUAAUACCGGAUAAUAUAUUGAACCGCAUGGUUCAAUAGUGAAAGACGGUUUUGCUGUCACUUAUAGAUGGAACCGCGCCGCAUUAGCUAGUUGGUAAGGUAACGGCUUACCAAGGCAACGAUGCGUAGCCGACCUGAGAGGGUGAUCGGCCACACUGGAACUGAGACACGGUCCAGACUCCUACGGGAGGCAGCAGUAGGGAAUCUUCCGCAAUGGGCGAAAGCCUGACGGAGCAACGCCGCGUGAGUGACGAAGGUCUUCGGAUCGUAAAACUCUGUUAUUAGGGAAGAACAAAUGUGUAAGUAACUAUGCACGUCUUGACGGUACCUAAUCAGAAAGCCACGGCUAACUACGUG
rnacentral:rRNA from 1 species